UACAGAGGGUGCAAGCGUUAAUCGGAGUUACUGGGCGUAAAGCGCUCGUAGGUGGCUACUUAAGUCGGAUGUGAAAGACCUGGGCUCAACCUGGGAAGUGCAUACGAUAAUGGGUAGCUUGAGUACAGUAGAGGGAAGAGGAAUUUCCGGUGUAGCGGUGAAAUGCGUAGAUAUCGGAAAGAACAUCAGUGGCGAAGGCGUCUUCCUGGACUGAUACUGACACUGAGGAGCGAAAGCGUGGGUAGCGAACAGG
rnacentral:rRNA from 1 species